GGAGAUGCAAACCUGUCUUCCUGCCGGCUCACUACCCAACCCUCUGCUUGCUGCCUGACCUGCCCCAUUCUCCAUGAUUCCUAUUCUGAUUUCUCCUGCUCAACCUGUCUGCUUGGGGAAGAAGCCUUGGACGGUGCUCCUCACUCCCAACCAUUUGCACGCUGAUCUGUCUUCCUGCCCCAGCACCUGCAGAGCUAACCCUUAACUUACUAGUGCACCACCUGCAGCCUAUACCAGACUCUGUUGAGACCAUUCAUUUACAACACAUGCCCAGGCAGACCGACAAAGGACGAUGCUAACCCCCUACCAGGGACAUGUGCUGGACUGAGAAGCAGGGUGACUGGGAAAUGGCACAUGGGUCUCCAGAGGUGCUGGGAAAGAAGGCUAAGGCAGAGAAGGGUGGGCACCUCGGAAAUGAGCAAUAGCCAGGAGUCGAGGGAACUGCACAUGGUUCCAGGGCUCAGAUUACGUCCUAUUAAAACAUCAGACCAAGGAGAUGGGACAGGAACCAAUAGAAUCUAUGGAAAACCAGGCCCGUCAAACUCUGCUGAGAGCUCACCUCUCUGGAUGGGAAAGUGACCUUAACUUCACUCGGAGAAUCCUGAGCUUAUACUUCGGGCCUAUUGUGGAUCCUGUAGAGAACACCAAGGAAAUGGCUGCCACUUUCUCCAAGUCUUGAUUAAAUCUUGCAAGCAGA